rnacentral:lncRNA from 1 species
GUGAAUCCCUUAAACUGCAGCAGUGAUGAUGGCUCAUCCUUGGCAGAAACAUGCUGAGAAGUAGUUGGGAAUCCCCUGUUCAGGCGCUGCAGCCUGAGGAACUUCAGCGUGUAAGAAGUGUGUAAGAAGUGCCUCUGAGCUGACGUCGCUGUGCUGGAGAGGAGCUGUUAAGGGACACAAGGCACCCAGGUAGAGCUCUCUCACAUGGUGAUGGUUAUACAUCUAAUGCUGAUCCUAACUUAGUGGAAUCUGUCUCCAAGCAAAUAAGACUGACGGCAAGGCUGGGAGUUCAAUCACCUGCUGACAUAAUCCCUGCUUUCUUUAUCAGCAUUCAAAAUACUUCAUUGGGAUCUUUAAAAACUGCACAGAUUCAUGACAGAACGCAGUCUCCAUGGACUUCCAUGUGUAAUCAACUUCCAGUUAUUUAACUAUCAUCUUUGCAAUCACAUCCUUUAGCAAUACACACAGCAAAUCACAGCUCCAUUUAAUAAAACUAACUUCAGUUAAUCA